GAUGAACGCUGGCGGCGUGCCUAAUACAUGCAAGUCGAGCGAACAGACGAGGAGCUUGCUCCUCUGACGUUAGCGGCGGACGGGUGAGUAACACGUGGAUAACCUACCUAUAAGACUGGGAUGACUUCGGGAAACCGGAGCUAAUACCGGAUAAUAUAUUGAACCGCAUGGUUCAAUAGUGAAAGACGGUUUUGUUGUCACUUAUAGAUGGAUCCGCGCCGCAUUAGCUAGUUGGUAAGGUAACGGCUUACCAAGGCAACGAUGCGUAGCCGACCUGAGAGGGUGAUCGGCCACACUGGAACUGAGACACGGUCCAGACUCCUACGGGAGGCAGCAGUAGGGAAUCUUCCGCAAUGGGCGAAAGCCUGACGGAGCAACGCCGCGUGAGUGAUGAAGGUCUUCGGAUCGUAAAACUCUGUUAUUAGGGAAGAACAAAUGUGUAAGUAACUAUGCACGUCUUGACGGUACCUAAUCAGAAAGCCACGGCUAACUACGUG
rnacentral:rRNA from 1 species